rnacentral:rRNA from 1 species
GAUGAACGCUGGCGGCGUGCCUAAUACAUGCAAGUCGAGCGAACGGACGAGAAGCUUGCUUCUCUGAUGUUAGCGGCGGACGGGUGAGUAACACGUGGAUAACCUACCUAUAAGACUGGGAUAACUUCGGGAAACCGGAGCUAAUACCGUAUAAUAUUUUGAACCGCAUGGUUCAAAAGGGAAAGACGGUCUUGCUGUCACUUAUAGAUGGAUCUGCGCUGCAUUAGCUAGUUGGUAAGGUAACGGCUUACCAAGGCAACGAUGCAUAGCCGACCUGAGAGGGUGAUCGGCCACACUGGAACUGAGACACGGUCCAGACUCCUACGGGAGGCAGCAGUAGGGAAUCUUCCGCAAUGGGCGAAAGACUGACGGAGCAACGCCGCGUGAGUGAUGAAGGACUUCGGAUCGUAAAACUCUGUUAUUAGGGAAGAACAUAUGUGUAAGUAACUGUGCACAUCUUGACGGUACCUAAUCAGAAAGCCACGGCUAACUACGUG